UUUAAAAACAAAAUUAUUAAUUUAAAACUGGUCAGCCAGAGUCUAUGAUCACAACUCCGUCCAUGGCAACGGUCUGUUAUACUUAUUAACAGUCUGUUAUACAGAA